GGAGAGGUGGGUGAGUGGCUGAAACCAACGGUUUGCUAAACCGUCAUACGCGUCAAAGUGUAUCACGAGUUCGAAUCUCGUCCUCUCCG
rnacentral:tRNA from 1 species